ensembl:lncRNA
CUCUUUGAAAGGAACGGAUCGCGAAGAUCCGGAUCCCCUCAAAGAGCCAUAAAUCCCAUCACUAGUCACAACUCUAUUGAGUCGGUCAGUUUAGGCGAUUGAUGCUGGCGUGCUCUGACAGAACCUCGCACGGUUUUCAACGCGGAGUCUGUUUUGGAGUUAAUAUUUCUCAGGUAAAUGCGAAAUAAUGUUAUAUAAUCUUAUUUAUACACGUUUGACGCCAUGUUCGGUUAAUUUUGUUGAACUUGAUGUUCCCCCGCUAAAAAUGCUCGUGUCAGACUGGCUGGUGUAACGUACGUUGGCCUGCAGGAUGGAGCUGGCUAGAAUGUCUAUAGCUAACUUAAUAAAGGAGUGAAUACAAUUUGGUAUCGAAGUCACUGAAGAGGAGAGGAAAAAGUUUGAAGGAGAUUAAUGCUCUUGGAGAGGAUGCUACAUCAAUAGAGGGACAUGUGAAAGUCCUGCAGGACCAAUAUAGAAGGACACAGUCAGAGACUCACAUUGUGGAAGAUCGAAUGAGGAGGACCGCUUUUACUUUACUGAGUUUUUCAUUGAAGAGCUAGUUUUUUCUUGACAUGCUUGCUGUUGUGAGAUGUAAUGAAAUCUUUUUAAAAGAACAUUUCUAAAUAAAAUUGUAUAUUUGUAAGCCAAGGUAUUUAUUUA